UACGCAAGUUUACCGUAGGCCUUGUGUAUGCAUCAAUAUAUAUUUUAGAAACAGGUCUAAACAAGAGAAUGAAGUCGACCUCAUAAGGUUUGCGAAGCUCUUCGUGUUGGAGAACGAAAGGGGAAAAGUUUGGCUUUUUAUCGAAUGUCUGGUUGUUUUCACAGCUGCAUGUUAGACAAUACAAAGACAGUGGUGAAAAGAAGCCAACAGAAAUAAAACAAAAUAAAAGGAUGACACAAAAUAUUGGCAAGCGUGUUGGUAUGUUUUAUUUUGAUUAUUUUUUUUUAAAUUUCUGAUUGGCAAACCUCAACGAGUCCCCCGCGUUGUCGGAGUGCUAUUUGUUGUCAAGUCAUUAGCUCCGUCUGUGUAGACUGCACGAUGUCCGGGCAUACAGACAAACAAACGGGUUAGAGGCAGCACUGUAGUGUCGCACUGACUAUAUAGACUCCGCUUGUGUGCCUUAAAUGCGGGACGUGUAUAUACAGCCGGCGGGACAAGCGUGUCGGAUUUGAAAUGAGCUUAGAUUCCUGUAUGUCUUCGUUCAGAACGUGUUCGUGGAACAUGGCAGCUUAGGCGAAACGGCAAUCAAAUGAAAUCAGCAUCCGCAUAAACGUUUGAGGUUAAAGGCUCAAAUGGUGGCGACAGCAACAGCAUUCGAGUUGCGAACAAUUUGCCGAACACACACACACAAAAAAAAAGAAAUAUUUGCAUCACAGCUCUUGAAGUUGUGUAUGAAAAGAGACGAUGCCGAGAAUUCAAUCGAGGCUGUGUAAAGCGAUUGCUUUGGCUUCAAUGCAAGGAUAUUUCUUUAUCUUAUUACGAUUAUUUACUUUUCCCUUUUGAAAAUGUUCAUUUUUCCCUAUUUGAAUUUCCAUUCCCGUGAAGAUUGUGACAGUUGAAUAAACGAUUUAAUCAAGAA
rnacentral:lncRNA from 1 species